UACGGAGGGUGCGAGCGUUGUCCGGAAUCACUGGGCGUAAAGGGCGCGUAGGCGGCCUGAUAAGUAGGGGGUGAAAUCUUGCGGCUUAACCGCAAGGCUGCCUUCUAAACUGUCGGGCUCGAGCACAGUAGAGGCAGGUGGAAUUCCCGGGGUAGCGGUGGAAUGCGUAGAGAUCGGGAAGAACAUCAGUGGCGAAGGCGGCCCGCUGGGCUGUUGCUGACGCUGAGGUGCGAAAGCGUGGGGAGCAAACAGG
rnacentral:rRNA from 1 species